rnacentral:rRNA from 1 species
GACGAACGCUGGCGGCGUGCUUAACACAUGCAAGUCGAACGGAAAGGCCCUGCUUUUGUGGGGUGCUCGAGUGGCGAACGGGUGAGUAACACGUGAGUAACCUGCCCUUGACUUUGGGAUAACUUCAGGAAACUGGGGCUAAUACCGGAUAGGAGCUCCUGCUGCAUGGUGGGGGUUGGAAAGUUUCGGCGGUUGGGGAUGGACUCGCGGCUUAUCAGCUUGUUGGUGGGGUAGUGGCUUACCAAGGCUUUGACGGGUAGCCGGCCUGAGAGGGUGACCGGCCACAUUGGGACUGGGGUACGGCCCAGACUCCUACGGGAGGCAGCAGUGGGGAAUAUUGCACAAUGGGCGGAGGCCUGAUGCAGCAACGCCGCGUGCGGGAUGACGGCCUUCGGGUUGUAAACCGCUUUCGCCUGUGACGAAGCGUGAGUGACGGUAAUGGGUAAAGAAGCACCGGCUAACUACGU